UAUAUAAAUUAUCGGACAUCACGUGUAGUAGCAGACGGAUUUAGACCCGAUUUGUUGAGAAAAAAAAAAUUCAUGCAAUCAUUUUGAAAUCUCCGAAAUUCAAUCCGAUUUCAUCUAAUUUCAUAUCGCAUUUCUUCAAAUUCGGCAAUAAAUGGCUGCCUUGACCAAGUUCAAGUUGCAAUAAUGAGUUAGCUCCAUUCUCUUAUUUUACACGCAAACGCAAGAGCGUAAGCGGCGACGACUCGGCGUGGCUCGCUUACGUACCACAAAAAAACGUGCGAUGGAAUACCCAUGGCUUGUGGCCCAUCAAUCCUCGUAUAGGGCACGGACCAUCGCAAUUGGGGGUUCCCACAAAUGUUUAUGUGGCCGAUAUCUAUCGAGAUUCGGUUUGGCUAGUCCCCCAUGCCCGUAGUGAGGUGCAUCUCCGGUUAACAACUUUCUUGUCCGACAGUUGACCAAACCAACCAAAAAUGCGUGAAAAGAAGGAAAAUUAAUGGCGAGGCUAGAUCGUCCCGGUUUUCAGGCAGACCGAC